GAUAAUCGUAGUUGUGGCAGUACAAUAAGGAUGGAGAUUCGUAUUCUCCAGCGGCUCGUGAACUCGAUAGAGAAUCGAUUCUUCAAGGUGCUCUAAAUCGUUUUUCCCUGAGGAAUUUGGCACUGCAGAGGGGAGAAAGGCCACGAGAUAGAAGAUAUCUUCAUUUGGAGUUAUCAAAGACGUAUGUUUGUUCCACCUGCAACCAUAAAAUGUUGGAUAUGGUUAAUAAUUCACAUCCCGGGUACAUACAUUCUCUUCCUGCCACGAUUUCCUGCAUAAUAGGU